GCGACAGUGGCUCAGUUGGUAGAGUACGACCUUGCCAAGGUCGGGGUCGCGGGUUCGAACCCCGUCUGUCGCU
rfam:Lachnoclostridium sp. An76 An76_contig_12, whole genome shotgun sequence.